UACACUAUAAGACUGGGAUAACUUCGGGAAACCGGAGCUAAUACCGGAUAAUAUUUUGAACCGCAUGGUUCAAAAGUGAAAGACGGUCUUGCUGUCACUUAUAGAUGGAUCCGCGCUGCAUUAGCUAGUUGGUAAGGUAACGGCUUACCAAGGCAACGAUGCAUAGCCGACCUGAGAGGGUGAUCGGCCACACUGGAACUGAGACACGGUCCAG
rnacentral:rRNA from 1 species